UNCCGGCUGCCGUGUAGGCCUCUAAGGG
rnacentral:piRNA from 1 species